CGUAGGGGCAAGCGUUGUUCGGAUUCAUUGGGCGUAAAGGGUGCGUAGGUGGUCGGGUAAGUCGGAUGUGAAAUCCCGGGGCUCAACCCUGGAACUGCAUUCGAUACUGCCUGGCUAGAGUACUGGAGAGGAGAUUGGAAUUUACGGUGUAGCAGUGAAAUGCGUAGAUAUCGUAAGGAAGACCAGUGGCGAAGGCGGAUCUCUGGACAGUUACUGACACUGAGGCACGAAGGCCAGGGGAGCAAACGGGAUUAGAUACCCCGGUAGUCCUGGCAGUAAACGGUGCGCGUUUGGUGUGGGAGGAUUCGACCCCUUCCGUGCCGGAGCUAACGCGUUAAACGCGCCGCCUGGGGAGUACGGUCGCAAGAUUA
rnacentral:rRNA from 1 species